rnacentral:SRP_RNA from 1 species
GGAAGGUUGAGUACGGACAUGGAAUUCGCCAACCGGGUCAGAUUCGGAAGAAAGCAGCCCUAACGAAUCCUCUGUGGGUCGUGGUUCGGCCUUCCACC